rnacentral:tmRNA from 2 species
GGGGGCGACUGGCUUCGACAGGGAAGCAAGGGUCAAAGAGGCAUGUCGGGUUACUGCUUACCCGCAAAUAAGCGGAUAUAAACACAACUGCAGACUCUUUUGAGUACGCACUAGCCGCAUAAGGCGGCUACAUCAUCCGGACUUUCUGCCUGCUUCAAGUCCGUGUAUGGUGUGAUACAAGCAGGAUAGUCCAGUCUGAAGCCUAUAGGACUGGGUGAAAUUUAUAGGCUGGAACGAUGAAAAACCUGUCAGCGGGUGUUUCACCGUUUGAGAUUAAAAACACUGACUAAGCAUGUAGGCUCUUUGAGGUCUUCUUUUUUGGACGUGGGUUCGAUUCCCACCGCCUCCACCA